rnacentral:rRNA from 1 species
UACGUAGGGGGCAAGCGUUGUCCGGAAUCAUUGGGCGUAAAGAGCGUGUAGGCGGCUCGAUAAGUCUGCUGUGAAAGUCCAGGGCUCAACCCUGGAAGGCCGGUGGAAACUGUCGGGCUAGAGUCCGGAAGAGGCGAGUGGAAUUCCCGGUGUAGCGGUGAAAUGCGCAGAUAUCGGGAGGAACACCUGUGGUGUAGACAGCUUACUGGACCAUAACUGACGCUGAGGAGCGAAAGCGUGGGGAGCGAACAGG